GGUAAUCAUAUGAAAGCAUUUGCCCCACCCCAGGGUGACUGUGGGAACCUGGAGAAGUUAAGAAAUGAAUGUAAUGGACUGAACUGCAAGCUGUGGCAGUCUGGGUCUGGAAGGAGAAGAAGCUGUAGAAGAUAUUUUCCUUCAGUAGCUUCUCCACAGCCAUGGUGGGAGAUGGCAGAAACAGCCAACAUCACUUCUGGGAGCUGGACCACAGAAGAGAAAAAGAAACAACAGACCCAGUAGAGAUAUCCAGCUGUGUCCAGUCCCUGUGAAGUCCCUCCAGCCCAGAACUGUGAGUUCCUGAAGAGCAGCCAUGAGAUUGUUCAGGUUAUGGCUCUGCCCAUCCCAAUGUCCAGCCCAAAGCAAGUGUUCAAUAAAUGCC
rnacentral:lncRNA from 1 species